GAAAGAGGGGCCAAAUGGGCUCUGCGCUGCCUCCUUGGCGGAGGGGUGUCUUGGCGGUGAAUCAACCCCUCGGAAGGGCGCGCUCCCCUUCUCCCCUGAAAGCCCAGGAAAAGGCACCGAUCCCCAUAAAUUCAAGGGCAUAAGCAUUCAGACAGACAAGAAUCCUGACAAUGAGCGCACACCGGUAUGCUGCGUGACGCUGAGUGGAUGGCAAAAACGUGAAUCUGUCCAACGUACUUAACGGGGAGGAUCCCUGACCCUCAACCCACACAAAGGGUCUCACGCUAAUUCAGGCUGGCCUUGAACUCACUAUGUCAUCCAAGUUCAUCUUGAACUCAAAGCGAUCUUCCUGCCUCAGCCUCCCCAGUAUGGGGGUUACAGACAUAUACCACCCUCUUGGGCCACAAGCUGCUGCCACGAAGGCGAGCAUACUGGAUACGCCAUGGACCAUGCGGACAGCACAGUUCACCACAGCGUGCUUGCCUGUGACCUUCAGAAGCUCCUCGCCUCCCCGAUGCUUAUUUCCACCACCUUUCUCCAUGACCAAGCCUGGUGGCCUGAGUCCAGAUGUGGAGCAGCUUUCUCCACCUUAGGCCCCAGAGAAAGGCCAUGGGCACAGACCUGUGGUGUACAGUGUCCCUCUCAGCUGAGAUCUCAGACCCUCCUGAGUUACGGUGGCAUCUCAAGGCUGAGGAGGGGUCCAGGACCUCUGGGCACGGUGCCCAGCGUGGGUGGGGUGGGGAGACGGAGGCAGGCUUCCUGGGUCUGCGUGUGAGGACAAACAGCAGGCUUUGAGGCCUUGGAAAAUCCCGCCCGGGAUUCCAGGCCCUGCCGGCGUCAUUGCCUUUUGACUAUUGUCCCUGUCGGAAAUGGGCCCAGCCCCCGGCCAGCAGGGACAGAGCAGCCAUUGUGAGGCCCCACCAGACUCAAUGCCCCCUUGUUCGCACUCAGGGGCCCCUAGCAAGACUUGGAGGCCAGUUCCUCCAGUUGCUGAGUGGAAAGAAAGGGCCUGCCUCCAGCUUCCAGCUGGGUGGGGCAGGGUGGGGCUGGAGGGGCAGGUCCCCCACCCCCACGUGCUGUACCCCAAUUGUCAGAAUGCUGGAAAGGAAUUGCCGCCAAGGCAGCUUUUAUUUGCAAGACACUGGGCUGGGAGGUAGCCAGACACGGCCAAUCACUACUUAGAAACCAAGUGACCUUGGGGAAGUCACUGCCUGUCCUCUGGAUUAGCCUCUUGGAAAAGCAAUAGCUAAUAUUUAUUGGGUGUUUUUUGUUUUGUUUUUUUUGGUUUUUCUCCGGUACCAGGAACCGAACUCAUGACCUUGCGCUUGCCAGGCAGGCGCUUUUGCCGCUGAGCUAAACCCCCAGCCCCAUUUGUUGGGUGUUUACUGCAUGCCAGGCACCACUUGGAACACUUAUGUAUAUCCACUCGUAGUCUUUACAGCAACUUUAUGAAAGGUACAGUUUUUCUCUCAUUUAUAAAUAAAAACACCAACGGACAUAAAGGUUAAGUAACUGGCCCAGUAUUAGCCAGCUGGUAAGAGUUAACACCGGGCCAGGAAUGGUGGAAAGUGCCUGUAAUCCCAGUACUUGUGAGGCUGAGGCAGGGGGAUCGCUACAAGUUCAAGGCCAGCCUGAACUACAGUGAGACCUUCUCUCAAAAAACAAAAAAAAUCUGAAAAAAACCGGAAGAGCUAGCACCAGGAUUUUCUUCUCCUACUUCCUUUGUGUAUACUUGUGAGCACACCGGUGUGUGCUGGGACUCUAACCCAAGGCCUCAUGCACCCUGAGCACGCAUGUGCUUUACCUCUGAGUUACACCCCCAGCCCUGGAGCCAAGGUUUAAACGCAGGCAGUCUGGAUCCAGAGUCUUUGCUUUCUACCAUGCUGAGUACCCACCUGUGAGGUGGAAAUAAUCCUGCUUCCUUCAUUGGGUGUUACUGAGGCCUGAAAUAAUAAACACAUGAAAAGGAGCUAGCUGGUAGCUAUUAUCAUCACAAUGCUGCUUUGAGAACUGUGGGGACCAAGAUUCUCCUUUACCCCACCCAUUCCUGGCCCCUGGCGCCACCCCAAGCACCUAAGUGCUGCAGUCCUUCUGCCUUCCCCAGCGGCCUGGCCUGUCGCCACAUCUGUCUGUGCUAAAGGCACUUGGAGGGUGACCCAAAGCCAGAAGGACUCAGUCCGGUCACAGCGGUGGGAGGUUCCUAGCAAGCUCUGUUCCUAACCAGAGCAUAAUCACCAGACCAACAACCCCCGACACUGAGCAGGUGGGGAAGCUGAGGCUCCGUGAGGAAGAAGGGCUUCUCUGGCAGCAGCAGGCAGGUGGAGGCAAGCCACUACCCAUCACCCCUUCAGGUGCUAGUGCUGCUGACCAAGUUUGGGGCGGGGGGUGGGGGGCAGCUGCACUGCUGGGCAUGGCAGUCACUCCCCCGCAUCCCCUACCUCAGCCACAUGCAGAAGGCUGAAGCUGGACUGCAUUCCCAGGACCCAAGUGAGGGCGUGUGGCUGUAGGCUACCGAGGAAGGCCUGGGUUUCUCCCUGCCUCUACAGCAGAGCCCUAUUGUGCUCAACCGGAGCAGUGGGGCUGGCUCCAUCUAGACAGUUCCCAGGGCCCAUGCAAGCAGAGAUGAAGGUCCUGCACCAGGGGCCGGAGACAGUGAGGAACAGGUGUGAAAAUACUACCUGCAGGACUCCUACAGGUCCAAGGGAGUGAUGAGGCUGGACGGGCACUGAGCACAGUGGAGGAGCUGCUAGCUCCAAAAGCACCCUUUCAGGAAAGCCUGCCCCCAGACCUGCCUCUGGGGAGCAGAGCUCAGGAGUCUACAUUUAAAGCCAGCUGAGUAGAGCCAGGGAUAUAGCUCAGUGGUGCAGCACCUGCCUGGCAAAUACGAGGUCAUGAGUUUGAUUCUUGAUACCAAAAAAAUACUAAUAAUAAAACCAGCUGUCUAGGCAACUAAUGAGCUAGCAGGAGGGUUGAAGAACCCGUAUGGAGGCACUUGGACAUGGGUGAGAGUCUCAGAACAAUUUUCUUGCUAAGAAGACCAGGGAUGCCAGCUGUACGGAGCCUGUCGCAGGGGUGGGGAGAAUGUUGAGAAUAGAGAUGAAACAAAAUUUAAGCAACAUCAGCUGCUAACAUUUUGGCUUCUCCAUCCAUCCCCAUGCUAAGCUACACAAACACACUCCCCUAAUCCUACAGCUGUGAGGCAGGGGCUGUUCUUUCUCAUCAAUGUGGAAAGCAGUAAUUAGAGAGCUAGCGUGUAACUCUGUCCCGGAGCGAUAGCCUAGCAUUGCGACGAGGCCAGGUUCAGUCAAAUUUCCAGAGACAUUCCACACGUUAGAAAUGAGCACUAGUGAAGCAGGUGCCAUCGUGAUCUGCUUUUAUAAAUGAGUAAACCGAGGCCUGCUAGUUCAAAUUGGUAACAUCUAAGGUCUGCCCGGAGCCACGCCUCUGUCUCAUGUAACUAUGGAUGUAUGUAGAGGUAGUGGAUGUCAGAGAUAGACAAUCCCAAUUUCAGCUACAUGUCUAUUUUUUAUUCAAUAUAUUAAAUAUAUUAAUCAGAAAAGUCACAUACUAUAAAUCCAGGAAAAAUACACAAAUAUAAAUGUCA